CCAGGUGCAGGGGGGAUAGAGUAGAUAUAGAGAGGAACAACCGUGGGGAAGGAAGCAUCUUGUACGGGUAUAGACGGUGAGGAGGGAAAGAUAGGGGAGCAAGCGAGCUUGGAUAGAUCGGUAGUUAGAGCCCUAAGUGAUGAGUGAGUGGUAGGCGGGUAUCGAUCGAUGGCGUCAGGUAGGCAGCGCGUUCAGCAAGUCGUCUGGGGAGUACGUUCGCAAGCAUGAAACUCAAAGGAAGGAACGGGGGGCCGCGCAAGCAAUGGAGCAUGUGGUUUAAUUUAAUUGCAACGCAGAAGAACCUUACCCAGGCUUGAAGCGAAUGUGACCAAGAUCGAAAGCCGACUUCCGCAAGGACGGGAGUAGAGGUUGAGCAUGGCUGUCAUCAGCUCGUCAGCGAGAUCGGGAGAAAGUGGAUUAACGAGCGCAAGAGCGCAACCUGUAUCCAUCAGUUCCAGCAUUAAGUUGGCGGAGACUGGGAGUGAUAAUCCGGAGGAAGGUGGGGAGGUGGUCAAGUCAGCAUGUCCUCUAUGUCUGGGGGUACACGCGUGCUCCAACAAUCCAUACAGACAGUCAAAAUGCCGCGAGGGGGAGAUAAUGACCAAAUGUCAAUAUCAGUUUGUCUUUUAGGAUGCAAGUCUCCAGCUUGAAUUCGGAAAGUUUGGUAAUCGCGUAUCAGCAUAUCACCGCGAAUCGGUGAACGGGCCUUCUACACACCUCCACUCCCAUCGUGAAAGCAUGGGGUACCAUAAGUCGCUGGGCCGUCGCCGUUUGUUGGGAAGCGGGCGUCUAAGGUMCGAUCGGUAAUUGGGGUGAAGUCGUAACAAGGUAACC
rnacentral:rRNA from 1 species